rnacentral:rRNA from 1 species
GACGUACUGCGCGAACGUUAUUCGGAAUCACUGGGCUUAAAGCGUGUGUAGGCGGAUGCCUAAGUACCUUGUGAAAUCCCACGGCUUAACCGUGGAACUGCUCGGUAUACUGGGUGUCUUGAGCCACUUAGGGGCUACCGGAACAAAUGGUGGAGCGGUGAAAUGCGUAGAUAUCAUUUGGAACGCCAAUGGUGAAAACAGGUAGCUGGGAGUGUGCUGACGCUGAGACACGAAAGCCAGGGGAGCAAACGGG